CCGGAGCCACAAUCGGUGAAGCUGAGCAUGUAAUUGAAACAUUUCUCCGGUGAAGAAAGGUGCGACGGAAGGCGGUGGUGGUGUAGGUACGGCCGGCGGCGGUGAUGGACCUGAACGGCGGCGAUGUGAUAGGGUUUGAAGGUGUUGAUACAUAUUAAUGAAUUUAUUUUUCUGGGAUGGCAAGAGGGAAUACCUCUGUCCCUGCUAUGGAAAUGACCAAGUGGUUCGACACCAACUAUUGUUAGGUAAUUGACAGUAACUUGGGAGUGUGGAUCUGGCAAUGUUAUGAGGGGGCGGGUGCUGUGCGGUCGGGUACAUUGGUGCACCUUAGCGCCACUGACAUGUCAUGGUUGCGGAGCUACGGUGGAUUCGUCAUAAGGCUUCUGCCCCAAGAGUCAAGAUCUUGAAAUGUGCUGAAAAAAUCGUGUAUUGAUAAUUAGAAUUAGUGUUAAAAAGUAUACUGAUGAUUUGUGAACAGAUUAAUUGUGUUAAUACGUUGCAUACAUUU
rnacentral:lncRNA from 1 species